AUUUUUCUCAUAUGCGGAUCGUGUAGAAGUGUCCAGCCUGUGGAUCAUUCGGUGGAUUAUUUCAAGAUUUUUGGGCUAGCUAAUAUUCAUCAUUGGACCUUAUUGAGAAACUAAAAGCAAAUUGCUUAUGAGCACAGUUAUGCAUGAUUAUCUACGAUGAUACUCUUACCUAUUAGAAGUCAGAACAACAUAAUCGUGUUAUGUUUUAGUUGAAGUGAAGGAAAUGAAGGAACUUGUUAGAAUGUCAAAACCACAGGCUUAAAAUAGGCUAGAGGAAAUCGGGUGAAUGUGUCCUUUUGGCGGCUACAAGAGAAUUUUAGGGUAGGAAUUCAAUGGAUUCCGGAGAAUGAUGAUGUACUAUCUCCUGAAGUCAGAGGGAAUUAUUACGAUGGAUCUAGAUAUGAAACUUUAAUCCAAGUAUCCGUCAUCAAAAGAUAAUAAGAAUGUAGACCCGCCGCCCAAUCCCUCUCUCUCUCAAGGUGGUGCAGAAGGCGUACGUGAAGAAUGAAGGGGGAGGGGCGCCGCCGAAUCAGGUGGCGGGAGAGAUCCUGUCGUUUUUCACGAGGAAUAACUUCGCCGUCGCCGACUGAGGAGAGACCAUCACGUCUGGAUUUCUAGACAAGGUGGAGCUGGUGAUGAUGAGGAGGAUGAUGAUCAGGAGGACUGAUUUGUUUUUUACCUUUGGAAACAAUGAGUGUGUGAUGUAUAAACAAUAUUUAUCAUGAUGUGUGUUGUAUAAAUAAUUUUAAUUAUCUUGGGAUAUUUUUAUUAAAAUA